rnacentral:rRNA from 1 species
UAGGGAAUUUUCCGCAAUGGGCGAAAGCCUGACGGAGCAACGCCGCGUGAGUGAUGACGGCCUUCGGGUUGUAAAGCUCUGUUCUUAGGGAAGAAGUUCUGACGGUACCUAAGGAGAAAGCCCCGGCUAACUACGUGCCAGCAGCCGCGGUAAUACGUAGGGGGCAAGCGUUGUCCGGAAUUAUUGGGCGUAAAGCGCGCGCAGGCGGCGCUUUAAGUUGGGGGUUAAAGGCAAUGGCUCAACCAUUGUACGCCUCCAAAACUGGAGCGCUUGAGUGCAGCAGAGGAAAGUGGAAUUCCCGGUGUAGCGGUGGAAUGCGUAGAGAUCGGGAGGAACACCAGUGGCGAAGGCGACUUUCUGGGCUGUAACUGACGCUGAGGCGCGAAAGCGUGGGGAGCAAACAGG